GAUGAACGCUGGCGGCGUGCUUAACACAUGCAAGUCGAACGAUGAAGCCCAGCUUGCUGGGUGGGUUCGUGGCGAACGGGUGAGUAACACGUGAGUAACCUGCCCUUAACUCUGGGAUAAGCCUGGGAAACUGGGUCUAAUACCGGAUAGGGGCGUCCCCCCCAUGGGGGGUGUUGGAGAGAUUUAUCGGUUUUGGGUGGACUCGCGGCCUAUCAGCUUGUUGGUGGGGGAGUGGCUCACCAAGGCGACGACGGGUAGCCGGCCUGAGAGGGUGACCGGCCACACUGGGACUGAGACACGGCCCAGACUCCUACGGGAGGCAGCAGUGGGGAAUAUUGCACAAUGGGCGAAAGCCUGAUGCAGCGACGCCGCGUGAGGGAUGACGGCCUUCGGGUUGUAAACCUCUUUCAGUAGGGAAGAAGCGAGAGUGACGGUACCUGCAGAAGAAGCACCGGCUAACUACGUG
rnacentral:rRNA from 1 species